GAGAAAAAAUGGCUACAGAUUUUUGAAGAGAAAUUUGGCAAUAUUCAAAAUUACAAAUGCAUCUGCUGUUUUCGUUUUGUUUUGUCUUCAGCAAUUCUACAUCUGGACUUUAUCCUACAAAUGUUCCUGCGUGUGUAUGAAAGAGGGAAAGAUUGAAAACAACCCAAGUGUCCGUCCACGGGGACUCUGGUUAAAUGAAGUGUGGAAUCCCUGCAGUGAACACCAGCCUUCCAUAAUGGACAGAGGCAGCCCUUCUCUACGCAUCAGAAAUAACCCAAGAUAGAGGAAGCUCUCUCGGUACCCAUCAGAAAUAUCCCCAGACAGAGAGAGCCCUCUGCGUGUCAAUCAGAAGUGUGCCCAGACAGAACUUUUCAUCUUUCAUCGAACAAAUCUAUUUAUGGUGGCUUCUUUUACCAGUUCUUCUGCCUGAUCCCCACUGCCACUACUUGGUUAUUUUCUGCUAUAUCUGCCUAUAUAGUAAUCUUCAGAAAUAUUGCCUUAUGGUAAUUCUUGGACUCCAUAGAAGCGUGAUCAAAAACAAAGAGACUGAAUGCUCAAACAAACUACAACGAUCAUAGAACGGGAGUUUUGGACAUAACAACUUGUGACAGUUUGUUUUCUUCUAGCAUUUUCUUACAAACACCAAGCCCCUUCAGCGUGUUACUGUGGAGGAAGCAUGCUGGCACAG
rnacentral:lncRNA from 10 species